rnacentral:rRNA from 1 species
UUAUACGGCGACUGCGAAUGGCUCAUUAUAUAAGUUAUCGUUUAUUUGAUAGCACCUUACUACUUGGAUAACCGUGGUAAUUCUAGAGCUAAUACAUGCUAAAAAUCCCGACUUCGGAAGGGAUGUAUUUAUUAGAUUAAAAACCAAUGCCCUCUGGGCUCUCUGGUGAUUCAUGAUAACUUCUCGAAUCGCAUGGCCUUGCGCCGGCGAUGGUUCAUUCAAAUUUCUUCCCUAUCAACUUUCGAUGUUUGGGUAGUGGCCAAACAUGGUUGCAACGGGUAACGGAGGGUUAGGGCUCGACCCCGGAGAAGGAGCCUGAGAAACGGCUACUACAUCCAAGGAAGGCAGCAGGCGCGCAAAUUACCCAAUCCCGACACGGGGAGGUAGUGACAAUAAAUACUGAUACAGGGCUCUUUUGGGUCUUGUAAUUGGAAUGAGUACAAUUUAAAUCCCUUAACGAGGAACAAUUGGAGGGCAAGUCUGGUGCCAGCAGCCGCGGUAAUUCCAGCUCCAAUAGCGUAUAUUAAAGUUGUUGUGGUUAAAAAGCUCGUAGUUGAACCUUGGGCCUGGCUGGCCGGUCCGCCUCACCGCGUGCACUGGUCCGGCCGGGCCUUUCCCUCUGUGGAACCCCAUGCCCUUCACUGGGUGUGGCGGGGAAACAGGACUUUUACUUUGAAAAAAUUAGAGUGCUCCAGGCAGGCCUAUGCUCGAAUACAUUAGCAUGGAAUAAUGAAAUAGGACGUGCGGUUCUAUUUUGUUGGUUUCUAGGACCGCCGUAAUGAUUAAUAGGGACAGUCGGGGGCAUCAGUAUUCAAUUGUCAGAGGUGAAAUUCUUGGAUUUAUUGAAGACUAACUACUGCGAAAGCAUUUGCCAAGGAUGUUUUCAUUAAUCAGGAACGAAAGUUAGGGGAUCGAAGACGAUCAGAUACCGUCGUAGUCUUAACCAUAAACUAUGCCGACUAGGGAUCGGACGAUGUUAUUUUUUUGACUCGUUCGGCACCUUUACGAGAAAUCAAAGUGCUUGGCUCCAGGGGGAGUAUGGUCGCAGGCUGAAACUUAAAGAAAUUGACGAGGCACACAGGGUGGAGCUUGCCGCUAGUUGACUCACACGG